GUUACAGGAAAUCAAGGAGAAAGUACUGACAAAGCAGAAGCUCAAUUGCAUGUAUAUGGACAGUUGCAGUGUGUACAAAUCUUGUUCAAAUUGAAGCUGAUGAAACAGAUCACUGGUGGCAGAAAAGUCUCAUUUGAAAUUUUCGGACCUUAACUGUAUUGU